rnacentral:rRNA from 1 species
GCGCUUUUGGAGCGGCCGAUGUCUGAUUAGCUAGUUGGUGAGGUAAAGGCUUACCAAGGCGUCGAUCAGUAGCUGGUCUGAGAGGACGACCAGCCACACUGGGACUGAGACACGGCCCAGACUCCUACGGGAGGCAGCAGUGGGGAAUUUUGGACAAUGGGGGAAACCCUGAUCCAGCCAUGCCGCGUGAGUGAAAAAGGCCUUCGGGUUGUAAAGCUCUUUCAGCCGGAACGAAACGGUCACGGCUAAUAUCCGUGACAACUGACGGUACCGGAAGAAGAAGCACCGGCUAACUACGUGCCAGCAGCCGCGGUAAUACGUAGGGUGCAAGCGUUAAUCGGAAUUACUGGGCGUAAAGCGUGCGCAGGCGGUUUUGUAAGUCAGAUGUGAAAUCC